GAGAGUAUAGCUCAAGUGAUAGAGUGCAUGCUUAGCAUGCAUGAGGUCCUGGGUUCAAUCCCUGGUACCUCCU
rnacentral:tRNA from 1 species